ACAGAAUAUUACCUAUUCCAUGUAAAUCUUUAAUAAGGCAUGCUAGAGGGUUUUAAAAGAAAUCCAGACUUCAUGAAAUGAGAAUAUCCAGAGGGAAAAAUGAUUGAAUUUAAAGAGAGAGAGAGAGAAAAAAAAAGAAGGAACCUUCAGUGGUAACUGUAUUCAGCCAAGGGGAUCUGCUGAUGGAAUUAUGAAAUCCAGUUUGGGAAGUGAAGUGAACUUUCCCAGCCACCGACUCAAAGCACAAGAUCCUAAAGUGCUUAAUGAACAGUGAAGGCUGACCUGUGAAGGAUUAGGAAUUUCAGACAUGUGUUACUUAAGCUUCUCAUUCCCAGAACCAAAAUUCCUCGCAAUAAAAGAAAGAAAGAAGUCAGCAUGAUGGCUCCAUCGCUGGGCUGACCUCAGAUCGUGCUGGUCUCAGUGAUGAACGGAAGGAAUGAGAAAUCUUCUAACAGAUUCCACAUUUCUGGUAUUGUUUUUGACUCCUCUGACUUUGUCUUUACCCCAAUUACCCUGUAGCCUGAUCUCACUAUUUCCCCUGAAAUACAACAAUUUUUCUCUGAAAUACAAC
rnacentral:lncRNA from 1 species